rnacentral:tRNA from 1 species
GCGAUGGUGGUAUAGUGGUUAGUAUAGUUGCCUUCCCCAAGCAAUUGACCCGAGUUCGAUUCUCGGCUAUCGUA